UACUAAGUUUCNACAANNGAUCUCUUGGCUCUCGCAUCGAUGAAGAACGCAGCGAAAUGCGAUAAGUAAUGUGAAUUGCAGAAUUCAGUGAAUCAUCGAAUCUUU
rnacentral:rRNA from 1 species